AUACGAAAGGGGCUAGCGUUGUUCGGAAUUACUGGGCGUAAAGCGCACGUAGGCGGCAUUGUAAGUUGGGGGUGAAAUCCCAGGGCUCAACCCUGGAACUGCCUCCAAAACUACAGAGCUAGAGGAUGUGAGAGGAUAGUGGAAUUCCGAGUGUAGAGGUGAAAUUCGUAGAUAUUCGGAAGAACACCAGUGGCGAAGGCGACUGUCUGGCACAUUUCUGACGCUGAGGCACGAAAGCGUGGGGAGCGAACAGGAUUAGAAACCCUAGUAGUCC
rnacentral:rRNA from 1 species